AACGAACGCUGGCGGCAUGCCUAACACAUGCAAGUCGAACGAGACCUUCGGGUCUAGUGGCGCACGGGUGCGUAACGCGUGGGAACCUGCCCUUAGGUUCGGAAUAACUCCCCGAAAGGGGUGCUAAUACCGGAUAAUGUCUUCGGACGAAAGAUUUAUCGCCUUUGGAUGGGCCCGCGUUGGAUUAGCUAGUUGGUAGGGUAAAAGCCUACCAAGGCGACGAUCCAUAGCUGGUCUGAGAGGAUGAUCAGCCACACUGGGACUGAGACACGGCCCAGACUCCUACGGGAGGCAGCAGUGGGGAAUAUUGGACAAUGGGCGAAAGCCUGAUCCAGCAAUGCCGCGUGAGUGAUGAAGGCCUUAGGGUUGUAAAGCUCUUUUACCCGGGAUGAUAAUGACAGUACCGGGAGAAUAAGCUCCGGCUAACUCCGUG
rnacentral:rRNA from 1 species